AUACGUAGGGGGCGAGCGUUGUCCGGAUUUAUUGGGCGUAAAGGGUGCGUAGGCGGCCUUGUAAGUCAGAUGUGAAAGAUCAUGGCUUAACUGUGGUAAGCAUUUGAAACUGCAGGGCUUGAGUACAGGAGAGGAGAGUGGAAUUCCUAGUGUAGCGGUGAAAUGCGUAGAUAUUAGGAGGAAUACCAGUGGCGAAGGCGACUCUCUGGACUGAUACUGACGCUGAGGCACGAAAGCGUGGGGAGCAAACAGGAUUAGAUACCCUGGUAGUCCACGCUAUAAACGAUGAGUGCGAGGUGUCGGGGGUCAACCCUCGGUGCCGCAGAGAACACAUUAAGCACUCCGCCUGGGGAGUACGGCCGCAAGGCUGAAACUCAAAUGAAUUGACGGGG
rnacentral:rRNA from 1 species